ACGCUGGCGGCGUGCCUAAUACAUGCAAGUCGAACGCACAGCGAAAGGUGCUUGCACCUUUCAAGUGAGUGGCGAACGGGUGAGUAACACGUGGACAACCUGCCUCAAGGCUGGGGAUAACAUUUGGAAACAGAUGCUAAUACCGAAUAAAACUUAGUGUCGCAUGACACAAAGUUAAAAGGCGCUUCGGCGUCACCUAGAGAUGGAUCCGCGGUGCAUUAGUUAGUUGGUGGGGUAAAGGCCUACCAAGACAAUGAUGCAUAGCCGAGUUGAGAGACUGAUCGGCCACAUUGGGACUGAGACACGGCCCAAACUCCUACGGGAGGCUGCAGUAGGGAAUCUUCCACAAUGGGCGAAAGCCUGAUGGAGCAACGCCGCGUGUGUGAUGAAGGCUUUCGGGUCGUAAAGCACUGUUGUAUGGGAAGAACAGCUAGAAUAUGUGAAACUUAGGAGAUUAGUUUGACGGUACCAUACCAGAAAGGGACGGCUAAAUUACGUGCCAGCAGCCGCGGUAAUACGUAUGUCCCGAGCGUUAUCCGGAUUUAUUGGGCGUAAAGCGAGCGCAGACGGUUUUAUUAAGUCUGAUGUGAAAGCCCGGAGCUCAACUCCGGAAUGGCAUUGGAAACUGGUUAACUUGAGUGCAGUAGAGG
rnacentral:rRNA from 1 species